ACUCCUACGGGAGGCAGCAGUGGGGAAUCUUGCGCAAUGCGCGAAAGCGUGACGCAGCAACGCCGCGUGCGGGAAGAAGGCCUUAGGGUUGUAAACCGCUUUCAGUUGGGACGAAGCUUCAGGGGUUAAUAGCCAGUUGGAGUGACGGUACCUUCAGAAGAAGCUCCGGCUAACUACGUGCCAGCAGCCGCGGUAAUACGUAGGGGGCGAGCGUUGUCCGGAAUCAUUGGGCGUAAAGCGCGUGUAGGCGGUUCAGUAAGUCUGCUGUGAAAGUCCAGGGCUCAACCCUGGGAUGCCGGUGGAUACUGCUGAACUAGAGUCUGGAAGGGGCGAGUGGAAUUCCUGGUGUAGCGGUGGAAUGCGCAGAUAUCAGGAGGAACACCUAUGGCGAAGGCAGCUCGCUGGGACAGUACUGACGCUGAGACGCGAAAGCGUGGGGAGCAAACAGGAUUAGAUACCCUGGUAGCUACGAGU
rnacentral:rRNA from 1 species